AUUGAACGCUGGCGGCAGGCCUAACACAUGCAAGUCGAGCGGGUGAAGGGAGCUUGCUCCUGGAUUCAGCGGCGGACGGGUGAGUAAUGCCUAGGAAUCUGCCUGGUAGUGGGGGAUAACGUCCGGAAACGGGCGCUAAUACCGCAUACGUCCUGAGGGAGAAAGUGGGGGAUCUUCGGACCUCACGCUAUCAGAUGGGCCUAGGUCGGAUUAGCUAGUUGGUGGGGUAAAGGCCUACCAAGGCGACGAUCCGUAACUGGUCUGAGAGGAUGAUCAGUCACACUGGAACUGAGACACGGUCCAGACUCCUACGGGAGGCAGCAGUGGGGAAUAUUGGACAAUGGGCGAAAGCCUGAUCCAGCCAUGCCGCGUGUGUGAAGAAGGUCUUCGGAUUGUAAAGCACUUUAAGUUGGGAGGAAGGGCAGUAAGUUAAUACCUUGCUGUUUUGACGUUACCAACAGAAUAAGCACCGGCUAACUUCGUG
rnacentral:rRNA from 1 species